UCCCAGCCUCGCUCUCCGCAGCUCUCACUAUUUAAAGCCUGAUCUGGUGUUUAAAUGGAGAGCCGGUGACGUAGGACUGAAAAGCACCUUCCCAUCCUGGCAGAGUCUAUAUUAGAGAGCGCAAUGGCUCUAUAUAAACAGGGCAGCCAAAGGGAGGAGGACCACAAGGAGCAGGGACUGAAAAGCACGGGAAGCUGCAGCAGCCAUGAUGGAUCGAUCUCUCUCUGAGAGUCGCAAACAAGGGGGCCAAGUCUCCACGUGGAUCAUGGCCAGAUAUGAAGAGGAAAUGGAUCUCAUUUUUGAAGAAUUUUAGGUAAAGAAAGAUGAUACCUCUCUGAAACCAGAAACUGAACUGUUGGAGAAGACACCCUGAAGAAUCCUCCAGACCACAAGCUGCACAAGAAGAUCAAGUAUGAACUUUGGGUGUAGUUGAUUGAACAUUUAUUUGUAUGUAUACUUUCAUGCCAAAGGGGACUUCCCCCUAAAUGGUUUUUUGUCAAUGCAUCCAGCAAUUAUUGGUUUUGUUCUUUUUUUUUUCUUACACUCAAAUUAUUGUAAUCUUUAAAUUGAUUAUGUUUUCAUGAUCCUUUGGGGAAGUUCUUCUUCCCAAAUAAUCUCACGGGGAAAUGUAAAAAUGGAGAUUUGAACCCCAGACUCCAAUCCCCAGAAGUCCUUGGCCACUUCCCAGAAUGCUUUGUAAUCUCACUGAGAUCCUCACCUGGGCAAGAUCAGAAAUUUCUAUUUAAACUGGUUGUAAAGCCUACCAGGGCUCUUCCUACUUCCACUUCCAAGGAGACGUGGCUCUCCACCUAGCAGGCAAGAUGUGAGUGAUUGUGAAUGGGCUCUGUGGGCCUAGGCAUGUGCUUUUCUUAUUUUGUAUUUUCUCUAUUUCUUAAUCUUUAAAUAAACCUCAUAAAAAUAAUACUUCUAGCAGAGAAACUAAUUUUAACUGUUAUACCUGUACAUGAUUAAGUCUCUGUCCUCAAGGAGCUUACAUUCUCUUGCAGGUGACAAGAUAUAUGUGAGUAUAUGCAAAAUAUACUCAGAUAUAUAUUGCAAGAGACAACAAGUAUAUAUCUGAGUACAUAUGCAAGGUAAUUUGAGGGAGAGAAGCUUUAUCUUAACAUUUCUUUUCAAUAUAACUAGCCUCAAUUAAAAUAAUGAAGAUAGCACCAAUCAUGCCAGAAAAUAACUCAAUAAUAUUUAUUUUAAAAAGAUUUGUGAAAUAUCCAUCCUUCCCCCACCCCACCAUAAAAGAAAUGACUGUAAAUAAGGAAUGUAAGAAUUUGAGCCAUCUAAAAAUAUCUGGAGUAUUGCUAGAGGAAUUCCAUUUACUAAAAAGUAUUUGAGCAGCCAGAGUUCAACUUGGAUUUGGAGUUGUAUGUGUUCUACUUCAAGUUAGUAGAUGUCAUCAUGCAAAAUCCUUACUAGGAAAAUCAAAAGAUUGCAGAAAUGAAAGGGAGUUUGGAUAUUAUCUAAUCCUGAGGCUCAAGGACACACCAAGUAGUUAAUAACAGAAUUGAUCAUAAAACCCAAAUCUUUGGAUCUCCUUAAUCAACUCCUUUUCCCACAAUGCCAUCCUCUGAUAUUCUUAAUAACCCUUUGAGGGAGCCAUUUGUUCUCUUGAUCAGGACCAGUGAUUGAUCUAGAUAGGAAACUUCCUGGUUUAAAAAAACUCCUUUCACUUAGGCCAUGUGUAGAUGGAAUUUGCUCCCCAGAACUGUCUUACCCAGCAUCCCAUUUGUGUCCUUACAUUACGUGUGAACACACUAAAGAUAAAGUUUUGGUAUAAGCCCUCCCUCGCUCUCUUCUUUCUGGAACAUGGCUGUGGAGGCUGUGGGGAGAGCAUGGCAGGAAAGUUUACUCAUGUGGUCAUACUUAUUAAGCUUUGUACUUAUAUUUUUUAUUUCUUCUACUUCAAGUGAUUACUAAUAAAUCUUAUAAAAUA